GGGCUGUAGCUCAGUGGCAGAGCGUUUGCCUAAGCAUGCAUGAGGCAUUGGUUCAAUCCUCAGCACCA
rnacentral:tRNA from 1 species